GUGAACGGAAAGAGCAAAACUUCCCUUUUCAUAGGUGUCAUUGCUUGAGAAGGACAAGCUCCAAAAUCUGCCGCAAAGUAAGAUUUGGUUAAUCUUUAAACCUGGACUUUGUUGGUUGUAAUCCUUAAAAUUGGGGGGGGGGUUAAUACUCUUAGAAUCCUAUUUCUUGAUAACCAUAUUGGCAUUUCAUUACCAAAAAUGUAUUAUGGCUCUUAAUUGAAAAAAAUUCUCCAUAUUAUUGGAUGGUUACUAAAUGUCAGACACUGUGUUAAUAAGCACAAUUCAGUCUUCACCAUAACCCACGUAAAAAGAGCUACAAAAACAUUCUGCAGAUGAAGGAACUAGAAUGCAGUUUUUAGUUACAUAGUUUGUAAUUUGUUAGAAUUAGAACUCAAAAGCUUUGUCCAUCUGGCUUCACAUGUUACUCCUUGGGAUAAAGGCUUAGUUUUCUUUUCCUUUUGGCUGCACCCAAGCCAGGGAUCGAACUUGCACCACAGCAGUGACCCGAGCCACUGCAGUGGCCAUGCCAGAUCCUUAACACACGGAGCCACACGGGAACGCCAAUGCUUAGUUUCCAAUAGUUCAUUUUAAUUGUAAUAUUUACUAUGUUGCUAGGAUACUUUGUAGUUGAUGGAUUUAGUUCUGUGCAAUAUAUGCAUUCUUUCCACCUGGAGUGCUUUCAAAUCCAACGAGGCAAUUAUAUCCUCUAAUCAAUGACCACAUCUUGAGAGCAUUUUAUUAAAUGGAUAUCUAAUGAACUUUAUUAUAUGCCAAUCACUAACCUUUUCCAGAUAUCAACUGAAUUCGUUUUCAUUCUAAUAAAAGGAGUAAAUACAAUGAUUAUAUCCAAUUUUACAGAUGAGAAAACAGACCCUUCAAGGAUGGGACUCUUGCCUGAUACCAUACAGCUAGAGAAUGGCUGAAACAAACUUAAAAAAUUUGGCUGGAAAGUCUGGGAUUUUAACCAGUUCAUUGCACUUGGGUUUGUUUAUUUGCAUGUUUGUUUUAAUUAAUUAAUUAAUUAAUUAAUUACUUUGCUUUUUAGGGCUGUACCUGUGGCACUUGGACAUUCCCAGGCUAGGGGGGUCUAAUUGGAGCUGCAGCUGCCGGCCUACGCAACAGCCACAGCAACGUGGGAUCCGAGCCGUGUGUGGGACCUACACCGCAGCUCACGGCAACGCCAAAUCCUUAACCCACUGAGCAAGGCCAGGGAUCGAACCUGCAUCUUCGUGGAUACUGGUUGGGUUCAUUACUGCUGAGCCACGAUGGGAACCCCUAAUUUUCAAUUCUGUCUUGUCCCUUAGAGGUUUGCACUUACAUGACAGCUCUGUCCAUUGGCAGAAACUUGCCAGCUCUCUCGGGACCGCUGGGUGGGCUCACGCGGGAAUGGCCAGGAACAAUCUCCAGCGCUUGAGCAUCUGCUCCAUUCCAGGCCCUGGACACAUGCCACAGGCAACACAAGUCACGGGGAAAGCAACCUGGCUGUGUCCUUCUUUUCAUUGCCUGUGUUUGCUAUCCCAGUCAGUGGGACAGUGAUCUUCCCGGAUUGUUUCACGGUGACGCGUUCUCGAAGGAAAGCAGCAGGCACGGAGUUUAACUUCCAAGUCCGUCCAUGCUGGUUAUGGAGAGGUGAUUUUUCUUAGCACGGUAGCUUGUCCCAAAGGCACACUUCACGGUGGAUUCUUUCUGGGCCCCGGUCUGUAGGUGCGUGCGCUCCUUAUUUGAGAGAGCUCAGCUGGCACGAAGGCCAUCGGCUCUCUGUUGGGUGGGGGGUCCUGAGACAUGGGGUACAUUUGGCAACAUACCAACUAUAUCCAUCCCACACCCCACGUUCCCCACCCUCUCCGUUCCUUACUCCCCACAGGGCGCCUAAGAAAACAAUCGCGUUAUAUUAGCUUAGCUUUAUGGAAAAACUCAACUCAUAUUUAACACACUGGCUAUGCGUUCAUUAAAAACUGUCUGACGAAGUUGGCCCUGAUCCUCAGCAAUAGGAGGAGGAAAAGGCAGAUUGUAUUGAAAAUGAGGAAUUUCCAACUGUUAGAAUGAAACGCCCAAGGGCCGUGGAGGUGCAGUGUCUCAAGGAUGGAAAGAAAGUGCUGACGACCCAGCAUCUCUGACGGCGCCCGUGCUUCCUCGAAGGGCAGGUGCGGCUGAUGCGCUCAAGCUGCCUUCCCACGUGGGGGCAGAGGCUGUUCCCGCAGCAGCAGUGGGUGCCUAAAGAGAGCCCGGCAAGCAUGUGAGUGAAAAGGAUGGAGCUUCCCGAAGACACGAAUCUUAAAGGCGGAUGCUGGGAAGCCAUCAGCUUGGCUGGCGAUGGCAGGCUCCAGCUGCAAUUAAAAAAGAGGAGGCAACAUCUGAUUUUAAAAACUAGCAGAUUUUUAAACUGCUGUGCUUGAGACGGCAUGGUUGGGUGCCCGGGGUUUUCUCCAUCCUUCUCUUUCAAACUGAGCUGGCGCCGAGGGCCCCUCCCUGCCUGGGGAGCCUGUGUCUCCAAGGCAGGCCUGACAUUUUUGGCGUGGGAGUCCGGAGAAGUUUGCGUUGGCACCCUCUGGAUUGAAACUGGAUUCUGGAUAAACAAAGUUCUGCAGUUCCCAGAGCUGCCAGACCCUUAAACUCCAUAAGCAUCAGGAUUGCUCCCUGCCCCACCCCCGGGAAAAUGAAAAGAAAAUGAAACUGUAUUGGAGAUUGUUUUCCUUGAAUAAACACCAAACAUGCUCUCAAAACCGAAGCUGCUCUCCUCUCUGAUAUUAAACUCAGUAAUUAUGCCAUGAAAGCCAAGCCUAUAAAUUCAAGCUUGGAAGGUAGACCUGCAGAGAGGGGGGAACCUGAUAGCAUGUGUCCACCCUGCCCGUGGACAGACGAGUUUCUCUUGGAUGCUCUUCAGUGUGAUAGAAACCUCUCUCCGCUGCCGUGAGGCUCUCUACACCCCACUGCCUCCACGCUGUGCCUCGCUUCCGGACUCAGGACGCUCGACCCAAAGCCUUGAGCAUUCUGGGGACGAGGACACAGAUGCCCUUCAGUAGGUGAGAGUUUGUUUUGUGUGUCUGGGACACCUUUGAAAACAAGCUUCGGCUGUCACAUCGCGCCUACCAGCAACCUGCUUACCGGGGGGCGAAGUGUCCGUCUGAGAAGAAGCUGUGUUGUUUCGAAUCGGGCCCAAUUUGGGAUUGUGUGUUUGCUCAGACGGCCCCCAUCCUCCUAAAUGAAAUAAUAUCCUUGAGGCCUCCCCAGCACCCUGGCUGCAGCGACACGCUUGCCCUUCAGAAUGACCUUUGGCUAGGAUGCCUUGGAACUGACAACGAGGUGCACACGCAAGAAGAAGAUGCUUUUGGCCUCACCUUUUCUCCUUAUGUUGCCUCUGAGAGUGACAUUAGCUUGCGAAUAAUGAGAGAAGAACCCCGAGUUUCAGCUCAGAAUUCAUUUAAUUCAUUUAAUGUUUUCAUAGAGAGAAAGAUUUGGAAGUUUGGACCAUUCAAAAUCAACUUUUUAAAAGAAACAUUUUCUUAUGCUGGAAAAAAAAAAUAGACCGUAUCCCAUUUAAUAGAAUGUUUUAUAUCCUCGUUUCCAAUUAGGAAACUGAUACAGCAGUGAAAAUAGAUGAAUUCAGUGAAGACAAGAUGAAUUCUCAGCCCACUUGGCCAAGGUUACCCCUUAGAACUGGAGUCCCCAGCAGUGUAUUUAAAGGGAUUUUUGUCUACUUUUCAGCAUUUGUUUGUUUGUUUUUUGGGUUUUUUUGUACAUACUUGUGUCCUUAAUCUCCAAUCUGUUCUAUUAACAAUAUCUUUCCCUUUCCAGAAAGCUGUGAUUAGGGUCUUGUCUUGCUUUUUUAAGGUGGCUUUCUGCUUCUUUCAUUUAGGUCACAGCUCCAUUGUGCCAAGCAGGGCCCUAUGCUGGGCCCUCUCGCCGCAUCUGUGGGUGCCCUCGCUGGGCUGCAAGGUCAGUGCCUUCCAGCGCUUCGUGGGCAUACCCCUUCCGCUGACCCAAAUCGGAAACAAUUUAAACUUCGCUUGUGGGCUUUUCUUUCUCUUCCACGUUCUAUUUCUGUGUGUUCUCCAGCCUCCUUUUCCCCAGGCAGAGAUAGAUGAGCGUCGCCACUUUUUAUUGUCCUGGCACCAGGGGAUGUUUUAUUCUGCGGAUGAUAGCCUUCCACUCACCUGUGAACAUGCAGAUAAGCAGGAGGUGCAUAAAAUCUCCUUUAUUAAAGGCAGAGACAUGCCCGGGACACCGCUCUGCGAGGCUGUGGGCUCCCAGCCUAGAAUAGGGUCCUUUGCUCUUUCCUCGGCCUGCCCGAGUCGAUGAGUGUCACCACUUCGUGUUUAAUUUGUACAAUUGUCCAGGAAAUCCUGUGCUAAAAGGAUGCACAGAACAAUCCAUCUCAAGAGUAAAAGUAGAGCAGAAGAACAAGCCCAAGGAGAGAGAAGCCACAUUUCCGAGUUGAAUGAUAAAACCUGGUCCCAACUUUCAGAUAGGCUGUUACGUAUAAAUGGACAACAGUGAAACCAAGAGCUCUCAUCACGUGAAGAAGGGACACUCGCGAUGCUAGAUACGGCUUUCAGAUGAUGUGAGCCAAAAGGCCAUUUCACGUUUGGGUGAUGGAAGGGAGGGAGGCCCGUCACGGUGAACAGGGGUUAGCAGAGCAGGAGGAUGAGAGAAAGAGAAAAAAGUUGUUGGAAAGGUCCACAGGCCUUUCUCAUAAGUUAGUCAUUCCGCAAAAACAUCCUAAAAAUCGGAUGGUGCGUCAGGUCUCAGACGCAAAGAACGCAGUUAUCAGUAGCUCACCUAUAAAUUUCAAUCAGGGUAGGCAGAGCAAAAUAGGAAUGAACACAAAUUGUUGUCAGCACACUCACAAUGGAUAGAUUUAUAUUUCAGAAUGCCCAGCUGCUACUUUAAAGCGGCAGAAAUAUAUUUGAUAAAAAUCUCUGUCUUGGCUGUGUGGUGCUUUCUCAUGGAGAACUCUAUUUAAGAAAUACUUUCAGGAGUUCCCGUCGUGGCUCAUUGGCUAACGAAUCCGAUUAGGAACCAUGAGGUUGCAUGUUCGAUCCCUGGCCUCGCUCAGUGGAUGAGGGAUCUGGCAUUGCCGUGAGCUGUGGUGUAGGUUGCAGACGCGGCUCGGAUCCUGCGUUGCUGUGGCUGUGGUGUAGGCCGGCGGCUACAGCUCUGAUUAGACCCCUAGC
rnacentral:lncRNA from 1 species